UCAGUCAUACAAAGGUGACUCGGGAUACGAGACGCGCAUAAAUCGACACAACAGACAUAGGACACGUUCGUUUUAGAAUUCUUGAAUCAUCCUGGGUGAAUGUCGGCUCGCGAAACUCUUCCAAAAUCAAUUAGUUUGCAAUUUAACGGAACCUUAAAAACACGCAAGUGCGCGGAGUGAGUGUGUGUGGUGGCUGCACAUACGAGAUUACAGAAGAUUCGCAGUGCUAAGAAAUGGGAUACAGUGAGGCAGGAAGAGGAAAUCAUUAGAGAUAACCGAGUGACGGACAGGGAUAAUACGUAUUGGUCCUGUGGAAGGUGUCUGUGAAGAGGGAUCGUCAGAAAUUUUGCAAGGAAGGCGGUUGACGCGCGAUAGUAGGUCGAAUCGCUCGUUCGGCGGCGCUCGGCCGCGGUCGGGUGUGCUCGGCACGCUCGAAUUCGAAGUUCGUGUCGUGGCGGUCGCGCGCUCAGCGGUCGGUCGGUCAGUCAGUCAGUCGCACGCGGCACACGAAAGCCUCGAGAAGUCGAGGGAGGUUCGAGAACCACGCGUGAAAACAGAACGAACGAUACGUAAGGAACAACACUGGACAAGGUGAAGGCAAGGAACGAUUCGGUGACUCGACGUAAACAAGACAGGCCCAGAGGACGAUUAGAAACGGGAUCGUGCGUUGCGCGUUUCAUUCGCGCGAAGAUACUGGAGCCGCUUUAGCGAACGGGUCGAUCUCUCCUCUCCAAUUCGAGAGAUCGACUGACCACCCUUCGAGGCAGCUCGCGGAGGCAGUAACCCUUGACGGAGACGGAGUUGCAGCUGUCAAAAGUGAGAUACUACGGGAGAACACCGGCAAAGACGAGAUGGUGUACGGAGGAGGCUUCGAUAUGGUGGAAACGAUGCCACAGACGGUGCCAUCCGCAGCCGGCUACUCGCCGUCGUUCGAUUACAGCACAUUCCAGUUCGAUUUGUCCCUUCUUUCGGACGAUUAUGUUACCGCGAACGCUCAGAAUACCUUGAAACCGACGCAAAUCAAACAGGAAGCACAAUCGCCGCGUCCUAGCUCGCCGAUCACUUACUCGAGUCCACCUUACCCCGGUGCGGGCGGCGAAUUGCCACUUUCCCCUAAUUACUCGCACGAGGGCUCGCCAGGAUACCCAACGAGUCCUUACUACGUUCCCAGGAGUCCUCAGAGCGCCCAGUUUUAUCCAACCAGCCCCGAACCGUCCGCCAAGCAACCAGUCAAGAGGGAGAAGAGUCUCGACCUACUCGCCAUCUUGCAGGAAUCAAGACUCCUGGCCGAGAGUCUGGGUUACCGUGAAGACUCGACCGACUGCACAGUACCGUGCACGCCACCCAGAACGGAAGAGGACAUCUACAACAGCCUUGACGCGGACUUCUUCGCGAAGAAAGAAGAUGCCGGAGUGCAGGGCCACCCGUUGUUGAAGGAAAUCCUGUUCAAGGAAGAGCCUCGGUCCAGUUGCAGCAGCAACAGCAGCAGCAGCAGUAGUAGCAGCAGCGUCAGCAGCAAUUCCUCCUCGUUGUCGUCGUCCUCGUCGACGACUUCCUCUUCUCCAGACCCCAUAGAGCUGGAGAACAGUUCGCCGCUGAGGAACUUGCUCUUCAAGGGCGCUCGAAAGGAUUUCGCGGACGUCGCGAGAACAAAUGUUCUGAAACUCGAGAGAAUACAGGACGAGGUCAGCAAUCCUCUGCAGAAGGAGGAGGAGCUCUUCAAGGACGGUCAGAAGAGCGAUCAUCAGUUGCUCAGGGAGGUUUUGAGGGACACGAGCUUUCAAAGGAAGUACAAUCUGAGACCCGUGGAUCUUGGUAGCGUUGGGACUGGGUUCGUGGAAGACAUGGAACCUGGCGAAUGCGUCGGAGACCUGACCAGAGAACAGAUCGAGCCUGUCCUGAGCCUGGCCAUUCAGCAGCUGCAGAAGGACUUUGAUAAUACCUGCGUGGCACUGGGCAUACAUCCAGAACCACGACGCUGGAGCGCAGCGGACGUAGCAGCCUGGAUACAAUGGGCCAGGAGGCAACUGCAGCUGCCCUCGGUGCCAUUGGAGAGCUUCAACGUCGACGGCGCAACGUUAACUUCCCUAACGGAGGAAGAGUUCUGUCAGAGAGCACCACAGUGCGGAAGCAUGCUGCACGCACAGCUGGAAAUUUGGAAGGCAGCGGUCGAGGAAUCCCCGAGGAAUACAUUGGCAGCUUCUUGGAGUCCUGCGGGUGUCGUACAAACCCCCAACAACAACAACAACAACAACAACACAACUGGAUCAGCUACUAUUGCAAAUGCAGCUCCUGCCAGUGUGAAAGGUUCUCCCUGCAAUAUUGACUUCUCCGAUGAUGACGACGUUAUUAAUUUAGCGAGUCUGGAUGAUUGAAGUAACGCACUUUGCGAGAUGUCAAGCCGCAGAAGAGGCCAAGGCAGGAAGGGUGGAAGGUGCAAACCGCCGAGUACACUCAAGCGACAGGUUUGCGGAGAAUUUUCUGAUGGCAUCCGAAACGGUAAAAGUUGUCCAGUAUAUCUGCGCGGGGUUAAUACGAGCCUAUAAAUCUUGACAUUGAUGGGAGUGAAAAUCGGGCCGCGAUUGUACAAUUUUGCUGAUCUAAGAGACGAGUAAUGCGUCUAACGGUUGAAUCGGCGACCGUUCGACGUGACAAAAGAGGCCAGUGCAGCUUUCAGAAAUGAAAUCACUCAGCAAUACGACAAUUCCGAAGAAGUAGAAGGUAGACUACACGACCGUGAUACAAUUAUGUAAAUUAAAGAAUUCUAAAGCUGGCCUAGUUCAUUCAUACCUAAACAAGGACACUCUUCUCGAAGGAAAGAUUUCUCGAUGAUCGAUCAAAAUAUCGACAUUUGUAUUCAAUUCGAUUCAUUCAAAAUGUAUAGUCAGUCAACACCGACGUAGUACAAAUCAGCAUCUAAUACACGAUAUUUCAAUUUUCCAUCUAUGCAGCGACGUUUCACUCGCCUUUAGCUACAUUUCAAAAUUCAAUAGUCACGUUCGAGCCACCAUCAGUCUUGCUUUAGCAACAGUUGUGCUUCCAAUAUCUACAUAUGAAUAAUGUAAAGGUAGGCAUUCCGAGCGAGUUCUAAAGAUGCACGUGCAACUUUGGUCGCGAGGAGAUAUAAGUGGCGUGAGUUUGCGCGUACAUGUAAUAGUCGCAAGAGCCUUGCACGAUUGAAAAGCGUGUCGGUCUGUUACAGUCAGCGAGAGAGUCUGUUGAGGAAUUGUCAGAGAUUCAGUAAGAAUAUAUAAAGGUUAAAAAGUUAGAAAGUCCUCUGGAAACAGAUGAGCCGAGGCAUUAGCCUAUAUUGCUCUUUAAGUUUUGCAAUUAUGACUGAAAAUGUGAUACAGCUGAGUAAUUACUAGCAAGAGACCGACGUUAUAUUUUUAACAUUUGUUUUUUUUUUUUUUUUUUGUUCAUUUGACGUUCUUUCAUCGCCACAUAUUAACGUUAUUUGCAUUUAACUUUAAUUUUAGUUGUUGGAAAUAUAUGUAUUUCAGCUGAGAUAAACCGUCUGUACGCUAGAUUAACCAAUUUAUUUAUAAGGAUUUUUAAUUAAAGAUAUGUUGCUCAAUGAAUCAACCAAUUCCCCAAAUUGUAAUUUUAUAUAUAAAAUGAAUACAUAAAAGUUAAAAAUUCAUGCAUUAUAUUAUAUUAUACAUAUUUUUAUUAUACUUUAAUUUUUAUUAUUAUAUUGCGAAUUAUACUUAAAAUUAUACAUAUUUCGAAGUAUUUUCUAAUACAAUUAUUCCACUAUCGAUUCAAGUAUAAGCAUCACACUGAGUGUACUCGAGGAGCUGCUCGCUUCCCGCAACGGAAUCGAGCAACAGGCCGCUAAAUUUUCUGCAAAACGUGGAAAAAGGGGGGCGUUCGAUCAGAGAUCGGCCGGUGUCGGUGGCGGCGCGAGGUGUCGAGGCACGACGUGCGAAUGCGAACAUAAAUCCAAAUUAGCGGCAACAUAACGCAACCGUGCCUCUAUCGGUGCUACGAUUCAGAGGGGUUUCUAUCUCGCUGCUGUUUCACGCCACGGCGAUCCGCGAAUGCCGGUAAAUCGUAAGUCGGAUUAUCGGCGAGCUCGAUCGGCCAAAGACGAGCGCUCGUUUCGCUGAUGUCGGCGUUCUCCAAGUGAGAAAACCCGAUACCGACGCGAUCUUCGCGCGUGUUUCUUCGAUUUCGCGAGAUCCUUCCUGGUUCCCCACCCGCGGACACAUAUUACUUCUUUUCGAUCACGAUACCGUGGAAUGAAGGAACUAUCCAUUCGAGAGUGGUGGAAGUACCAGGGAUAGGGUUUGAUUGGAAACUCCGACGACUGAGCUUCAGCUUUGUUUAUUUAAGCGUGUAAUUGUCACUUCAGUUAUUGGACUGAAUGCAUACAUUACAAUAUAAUUAUUUCCAUUUUUCUUAGCAUUACUUUGCCUUACAUAAUUCCUUAAUUUUGGGAUUAUUGUAACACAAUUCUGUAUAUUAUAUUGACAUUAAUCUUGUCUUUGGUAAUAGUCGGUAUAGAGACCAAUGACCCCCAACAGACAUAUAGAGGAAUGUAAUGUAAUGUAAGAAAUAAUGUAAACCAUGGUAAUGAUUGAAGAUAUGGAUUCAUCUAAAGCAAUGUAAAUGUGACAUGGAAUGAAAUAUACACAAGAAUAGUGAUUUGUAACAAACAAGACUGGAUUAAU